GUGGGGAAUCUUAGACAAUGGGGGAAACCCUGAUCUAGCCAUGCCGCGUGAGCGAUGAAGGCCUUAGGGUUGUAAAGCUCUUUCAGCUGGGAAGAUAAUGACGGUACCAGCAGAAGAAGCCCCGGCUAACUCCGUGCCAGCAGCCGCGGUAAUACGGAGGGGGCUAGCGUCGUUCGGAAUUACUGGGCGUAAAGCGCGCGUAGGCGGACCAGAAAGUUGGAGGUGAAAUCCUAGGGAUCAACCUUGGAACUGCCUUCAAAACUCAUGGUCUGGGGUUCGAGGGAGGUGAGUGGAAUUCCGAGUGUAGGGGUGACAUUCGUAGAUAUUCGGGGGAACACCAGUGGCGAAGGCGGCUCACUGGCUCGAUACUGACGCUGAGGUGCGAAAGCGUGGGGAGCAAACAGGAUUAGAUACCCUUGUAGUCC
rnacentral:rRNA from 1 species